GACGAACGCUGGCGGCGUGCCUAAUACAUGCAAGUCGAACGAGUGGCGGACGGGUGAGUAACACGUGGGAACCUACCCAUCAGAGGGGGAUAACACUUGGAAACAGUUGCUAAUACCGCAUACCGGUAGCUAGGCCUGCGCUGCAUUAGCUAGUUGGUGCGGUAACGGCUCACCAAGGCGACGAUGCAUAGCCGGUCUGAGAGGGUGACCAGCCACACUGGAACUGAGACACGGUCCAGACUCCUACGGGAGGCAGCAGUGGGGAAUAUUGCACAAUGGGCGCAAGCCUGAUGCAGCCAUGCCGCGUGUAUGAAGAAGGCCUUCGGGUUGUAAAGUACUUUCAGCGGGGAGGCGUUACCCGCAGAAGAAGCACCGGCUAACUCCGUGCCAGCAGCCGCGGUAAUAC
rnacentral:rRNA from 1 species